rnacentral:lncRNA from 1 species
AGUGGCAUCUUGUAUAUUUUGUCCAUGGCUUCAUGCACUCGUUAUGGUGGCUUCAAAGACCUGAAAUCAUCACUCGUAACUCCAUUCUUGUUCCCCUUGCGCAUGCCAUAUUCUCCAUGCUUUCUCUUGCUCCAAUGUUCAUCCUUCUCCAAGCUAGGCCCUUCAUUUGUAAGCAAAACAAAUGUAUCCAAUUUAGGCAGCAUCAUAUUCUCAUGAACAUUAGAAUCAUUACCAAGAACCGAAAGUACCUGGUAAUUUAGUUGGAGUGCGCGAGCUCUAGUAAUUGAUCCAGUAUGUAUAGCAGCAGGGGUUGUGGGUGUAACAAUGGUAUUGAUGUCCUCAUCAACAUAAAUCAAGUAUUUUCUACAGUUUGACAGUCAUGUGUGUCAUCAUGAAGUAAGAAUUCUUUCGUUCAUUCUUUAUCCUGAAGCAGGUCUCAAACUAAUAAACUAUAUGUUUUUUCAUAGUUUAGAACCCACCAAAAUAGAAUAAAAGAAACACAUGAAUAGUAGGUUGUAAAUUUGGUUAUAACAAACCAAAAACAACAGGCACUAAAUAAACAAACAAAAUAUUGGACCACUUGGGGUUUUUGUCACAAAAUUAUACCAAGGUUGAACGGAGAUUUCAGUUCAGGGUGAGUCCCAUGAGAACCUUUUCAUACUCUGUUGGCUUUCUUCUAAAUCCAUGACCAACAAAGGUGGAUUUGGUUACCAUUCCCUUCAACUGCUUCGGAAGGAAAAAAUUAUUAGCUAAACUAUUCGGCUCAGUGCAGAAGAAAUACUAUAUAUACUCUGUGCUAACGUUGACUGAUAGUUCAUAAAAGCAACUUCAGACUGAAAAUCGUGACCACCGUCUCGCUCCUUGCUUGCCCACCAUCGUUGUUGAUGCGGUUGUUGAAGCUUGCACAUCCAGCACCGAUGCACGCUUGAUGGGGGAUGCAGGCCGCUAGUGCUGGUUGUGGAGGGAGAGUAGACGUGUGCAACACAUGAGAACAGAGAUGAAUGUUUGGAGAGGGAAAAAUCGAGAGAGUGAGAGAUUGGGAAAGGGAUCUCGCCGCCUCCAGCUCGAACUCGCUGAUGAGCGGUCCUUCGCCUCGAGCACCUUCAUCCCGUCUCUCCAUUUUCUGACCUUCCUUGUCUCCGCCUCGAGCUUGAGCUCCAAUCUGCCGCCACCAGAUCCGACCCUGUCACCCCCUCCUUCCUUGCCUGCCCCUCGAGCUCACCCUCUCCUUCUCCGCCACCUGGGUCAGUGGGCCCAGAGGGGAAGGCUCAGCGAGAGCACGGGGAUGUCUCGGUCGGGGUGGUGGUGGCAGCGAGAGAAAGCACGACGACGAUGCAACAAGCAUCUCGGCAUCCCGUGCUUCACUUGUGCCGAGGACGAUGGUGACGGUGCCAGGCGUCUUGUGCAUUUGUCUCCUUGAGAUGGAGGAGGUGGAGCUCGAGCUGGUCGCGUUGUGGAGGGAGAGGCGGCGUAGUAGCUGGAGCAUAGGAGGGAUGAGGAGAGGCGAGGGACGAGCGAGCGGGGAACAAAGUCAAAGGGGACCUAGGGUUGUGUGGUGGCUGGUGCGGGAGUGAGACGCGAGGACGGGGGAUUGGG